rnacentral:lncRNA from 10 species
GUGCUGCCUGGCGCUGGCUAGGAGGCAAACGCACGCGGGAAGAGCUGCUACCCAUUCCAGGGACCCUGCCGCUGCCCCUCUGAGGGGUCUGCACCUCCUGGGAGCAGGUGGGUCUCUGGGACGAGGGUCCAUGGUGGAUGGCUCUGGAGACGCUCCCGAGGCUGUGCCGUCCCGCUGCUGCACAGGUCGGAGGGUCACCGCAGAGGCUACUCGGGCUGGGGCUGGGGCCGAGGGAGCCCGCACUGGAGGGUCUCGCUCUGUUGCCCAGUGGCCUGACCAUGGCUCACUGCAGCCUCCAACUACUGGCCUCAAGUGAUCCUCUUGCCUUGGCCUCCUGAAGUCCUGGAAUUACAGGCGUGAGCCACUGCACCGGGCCCAUUUAAUACUCUGAGCCCCACCUUUCCCAUCUGUGGAUGGAGGUAAUGAUAAUAGCAUCUUUGGGGUGUGGCUGUGAAGAUAGAUAGAUGAGCAUGCAAAGCUCCAAGUGCCUGCUGAAUUGUAAGUGAAAUAAGAACGUGUGCCGCUGAAGGCUGUCCCUGGAGGCAGGGACACUCUGGCCAGGCCUCAUUUAGUUGGUCAGUGGCUGAGUGACCCAUGAG